rnacentral:tmRNA from 1 species
CCCCUUUUCACGGGCGCAAGAAAGACCUAUAUGAACCUUGCCGGGCUUAGGUCCGGAUAUGGCGAUAAAUGGUCGGUGUAAUAAACCUAUUGGACCCGGGGGCGGUACCCGGCGCCUCCACCAAAAACCGGUCGGUCGAUGUCAGACCGGCUUUUGAUGGGGGCGAAAUAGGAUCGACAAGGGUGUAAAGAUCGUACUUUUGCUCGGCAUGAUACCGCCGUUAUCGGGUCACAAGUGUAGUUGCAAACGACAACAACGCUAAGGGUUAUGCUCUCGCUGCUUAAUCGCGGUGCGGGAAAUCCGAACUAAGUCCUUACGGUUAGCCCCGUAAGGCGGGGUCCGAAGGCACCUGGCAACAGAAGCCUUCACC